GUCAAACUAACCUAAUUGCAUUCUACGAAGAAGUAAGCAGGGUGUUGCAGUGGAUGUGAUCUACCUGGAUUUUUCCAAGGCGUUUUUUAUAUGGUUGGUAUGGUUCCUCACAAUGGGUUAGUGUUCAAACUCAAAGAAAUCGGUCUAGAUGAAAAUUCUUGUUCUUGGGUAGAACAUUGGCAAAAAGAUAGAGUGCAGAGAGUUGUCAUUAAUGGUAAAUUU